UGACUAGACUGGUAACCUGCUC
rnacentral:miRNA from 1 species